GACGAACGCUGGCGGCGUGCUUAACACAUGCAAGUCGAACGGAAAGGCCCUGCUUUUGUGGGGUGCUCGAGUGGCGAACGGGGGAGUAACACGUGAGUAACCUGCCCUUGACUUUGUGAUAACUUCAGGAAACUGGGGCUAAUACCGGAUAGGAGCUCCUGCUGCAUGGUGGGGGUUGGAAAGUUUCGGCGGUUGGGGAUGGACUCGCGGCUUAUCAGCCUGUUGGUGGGGUAGUGGCUUACCAAGGCUUUGACGGGUAGCCGGCCUGAGAGGGUGACCGGCCACAUUGGGACUGAGAUACGGCCCAGACUCCUACGGGAGGCAGCAGUGGCGAAUAUUGCACAAUGGGCGGAAGCCUGAUGCAGCAACGCCGCGUGAGGGAUGACGGCCUUCGGGUUGUAAGCCGAUUUCGCCUGGGACGAAGCGUGAGUGAGGGUAAUGGGUAAAGAAGCACCGGCUAACUACGCG
rnacentral:rRNA from 1 species